rnacentral:rRNA from 1 species
GCCUACGGGGGGCAGCAGUGGGGAAUAUUGCCCAAUGGGGGAAACCCUGAUGCAGCGACGCCGCGUGAGCGAAGAAGUAUUUCGGUAUGUAAAGCUCUAUCAGCAGGGAAGAAAAUGACGGUACCUGACUAAGAAGCCCCGGCUAAAUACGUGCCAGCAGCCGCGGUAAUACGUAUGGGGCAAGCGUUAUCCGGAUUUACUGGGUGUAAAGGGAGCGCAGGCGGCUUGGCAAGUCUGAUGUGAAAGGCUGGGGCUCAACCCCAUCCAGCCGUUGAAACUGGGGAUCUAGAGUGUGCGAGAGGUAU